rnacentral:rRNA from 1 species
GGGACCGAUGACUGGGGUGAAGUCGUAACAAGGUAGCCGUAUCGGAAGGUGCGGCUGGAUCACCUCCUUUCUAAGGAA